rnacentral:rRNA from 1 species
GACGAACGCUGGCGGCGUGCUUAACACAUGCAAGUCGAACGGAAAGGCCCUGCUUUUGUGGGGUGCUCGAGUGGCGAACGGGUGAGUAACACGUGAGUAACCUGCCCUUGACUUUGGGAUAACUUCAGGAAACUGGGGCUAAUACCGGAUAGGAGCUCCUGCUGCAUGGUGGGGGUUGGAAAGUUUCGGCGGUUGGGGAUGGACUCGCGGCUUAUCAGCUUGUUGGUGGGGUAGUGGCUUACCAAGGCUUUGACGGGUAGCCGGCCUGAGAGGGUGACCGGCCACAUUGGGACUGAGAUACGGCCCAGACGCCUACGGGAGGCAGCAGUGGGGAAUAUGGCACAAUGGGCGGAAGCCAGAUGCAGCAACGCCGCGUGCGGGAUGACGGCCUUCGGGUUGUAAACCGCUUUCGCCUGUGACGAAGCGUGAGUGACGGUAAUGGGUAAAGAAGCACCGGCUAACUACGUG